rnacentral:rRNA from 1 species
AUGGGCGCCGGCUUGUAAGGCUAUAUUGACAAAACCAUUGAGGAGCCUCCCAAGAACAUCGUCGCAAAGGAUAAAGAGGGCAAGGAUCAGGUGGUGCCAAACCCUUCCUACGCCCCCUAGCUAGUCCAGGACCAGCAAAUCAUCACCUACCUCCUUCGAAACCUCUCCAAAGAGGUCCUCGUUCAGGUGGCAUCGCUGGAGACGUCGCAUGCGAUCUGGACGACGCUGUCCAACAUGUCUGCGGCGGUCUCCCUCUCUCGAGUCAACAAUCAGCGCGCCGCCCUCACCAAC